AGACAGCCAAAAGGUAUAGAUUCCACUGUCUCCUCUGCACCCUCAUCUUCAGCCCACUCUGCUUUUACAGCUUCUCUUAAUCACCUCAGUUUAGAAAUUACAUAUCAACAGACAAGACGUGAUGCAAAUUUCACGUACAAAUUCCUUAAAGUAAACUGCACAGAGCAAGACUUGCCUCCAGCUGAACUCCGGGGACAAAAUGCCAAGACCCCCUGAAAUCAACAGGGAGUUUUACGAUCGUCUAUAUUGCCUCUUGCCUUUAUGCAUGCUUCGGACUCCUUACCAUCUACCUUUAAUAUGCAACAAACUACAAAUUUCUAUAAAUACUACUAGUUGCAGUAUUUGUUAAUGUAUAUUCUAAUCAUCAAGCUUACUGCAACUGAAAUCCCAAGCAGGAAUUAAAAUUGUCUGAAUGGACCACUUCUGACAAGGCUUUUCAGUUGCUAUAAAUGGAUAACCUGCUACUCUCUCCUACGUUUAAGCAUUUGUCACAUCUGGUCACCUACCAAUAAACAAUCUUUUAAAUGGA